UACAGAGGUCCCAAGCGUUGUUCGGAUUCACUGGGCGUAAAGGGUGCGUAGGUGGUGGGGUAAGUCGGAUGUGAAAUCUCCGAGCUCAACUCGGAAAUGGCAUUGGAAACUACCCUGCUAGAGGGUCGGAGGGGUGACUGGAAUACUUGGUGUAGCAGUGAAAUGCGUAGAUAUCAAGUGGAACACCAGUGGCGAAGGCGAGUCCCUGGACGACUCCUGACACUGAGGCACGAAAGCUAGGGGAGCAAACAGG
rnacentral:rRNA from 1 species